CUCUGCACGGCGGAUCUCUCGGCUCGCGCAUCGAUGAAGAACGCAGCCAAACGCGACAGACGUAGUGUGAAUUGCAGAUCCGAUCAUCGAUCCUUCGAACGCAAAUGGCGCUCGUCUCCGAAGGGACGAGCAAGGCCGUCCGAGCGUCCGACUCUC
rnacentral:rRNA from 1 species